rnacentral:tRNA from 1 species
AUAAAAAGGUGAUAGAGUGGUUAUAUGGCCGGCUUGAAACUGGUUUAUAUGGGUUCGAUUCCUAUUCUUUUUG